CUCAGACAUCAGUUCUAUUGAACUGAGAGUAGGGGGAUGUGGACAUUUUUGUGAAGGUGCAAUGUGAGUUGGACUGGAAGAAUGUCUAUUACAGAUCCUAAUUGAAGUAGCGAUUAUCCAGGCUUGUAUCCUGGGGGCUGAUGAGGAGUAGGGUUUCUGGACAACUUAAACAGAUCCAGAGUUAGUCGAUCCUAAUCUCAAUAAUGGGAGAAAGGGAGUACAGUUGAUAUUCUGUAACUGACAACAGUUCGCGGCAACGCAUACUAUUUUUCUCCGCCAAUCUUAUACCGUUGGUAGGGAUCUCUUUCCUACAUGACAGUACUAAUACCCAGGGAAACUGGUCAUCAGGCGAACUGCGGCGUUCUGCUGGCAAAACAUAGCUUCGGUUAUGUCAAUGGCUAUUGGAUUGGUCCAUGAAGCGAAAAAUAGUUUACUGUGUCACUCGUACCGAUAACCGCAUCAGGUCUUCUAGGUAAGUAGCCUAUGGCCAUUGAGGCAUGAUAGUUCAGGGAAUUCGGCCAAUUAGAGCUGUAACUUCGGGAUAAAGCUUGGCUCUGAUGAAAAUCAGAACCGAUUGUUACGCGGAGAGCCCAACUGUUUAAUAAAAACGUAGUGUCGCGCUGUGGUAGUAUAGCCAGUGAACGCGACAUGAAUCCUGCUCAGUGCUGUGUCUGUUAAUAUGGUUCAAGCCAACGAAGCACCGGUAAAUAGCUGGGGUAACUAUGACUCUUAUCAAAGUAGCGAAAUACCUCGUCACUUAAUUAGUGACCUGCAUGAACGGAGCUAUGAGGUUCUCACUGUCCCAAACUGUCUCUCAGCGAACCAACUGUAGUGGGAACGGUCACUAGAUAUCCAGCGGGGAAAGAAGACCCUGUAGAGCUUCACUUUGGUCUAGUCUUGUAUAGUUCCUGCGGGGGUGUAGACUAGGUGGGAGAGCAAUCGAUUCUGAAAAACCCACUA
rnacentral:ncRNA from 2 species